UAAGGAAUAUUGGACAAUGGAGGCAACUCUGAUCCAGCCAUGCCGCGUGAAGGAAUAAGGCCCUAUGGGUUGUAAACUUCUUUUAGACGGGACAAAACCCCUUUACGUGUAAAGGGUUGAUGGUACUGUCAGAAUAAGCAUCGGCUAACUUCGUGCCAGCAGCCGCGGUAAUACGAAGGAUGCAAGCGUUAUCCGGAAUUAUUGGGUUUAAAGGGUGCGUAGGCGGACUAAUAAGUCAGUGGUGAAAGCCUGCAGCUUAACUGCAGAAUUGCCAUUGAUACUGUUAGUCUUGAGUACAGGUGAGGUAGGCGGAAUGUGUCAUGUAGCGGUGAAAUGCUUAGAUAUGACACAGAACACCGAUUGCGAAGACAGCUUGCUAAGCUGUAACUGACGCUGAGGCACGAAAGCGUGGGGAGCAAACA
rnacentral:rRNA from 1 species